rnacentral:lncRNA from 1 species
AUGAAACUGGAAGAGGAGCCUGUGCUGCUCAGCUUGCAGAAGUUUGCUUUUAAACCUAAACAAGUUCCUCGUCCUCUUUCUUGCCAUGAUGGGAGCUGGAUCAAAACAGCAGAGGCUGAUGAAGGGUUUGGCUUCCAUGAAGAUGAGCACCGCUGGAAAGCAGAAACUGCUACACGACCCAGUCACAGUUCCUGGAUGAUCCCGGCCACAAACAGCGGAUGUCUCAGCUCUGGACAGAAUGGGAUCAGCACGUCUUCCUCCCAAAACCAAAACGAUGCCUUUCUCCAAAUGCCUGCUGUGACCUUCGAUCUGGGAAACGAGUGGGAGGACUUUGAGGAUGAGAAGCUGCUGCGAGGCAGCCAGGAUCCCAGAGCUGAAGCUCAGUGGCUGCAGACUGAACCGAGUGUCUCAGGCUGUGCAGCUGCAUCAGCACCAGCGUUCUCCAGCCGCUCAUCUGCUAACCGUUGUGUACCUCCAGCUGCUCCACAAAGGCAAUACUUCAAGUACACACAGAAUGUAUUUGUCAGAAACUCCAUCAAAGAAGUGGAGUGA